GUGCUCCCUUCAUGCACAUAUACUAAAAUUGGAACGAUACAGAGAAGAUUAGCAUGGCCCCUGUGCAAGGAUGAUUGCAAAUUAGUGAAGUGUUCUCUCUGUUA
ensembl:snRNA U6 U6 spliceosomal RNA